rnacentral:lncRNA from 1 species
CUCUGUUGCAUAUAUUGAAUACAUUGAUAGUGUAUUUAUACACAAAAUACAGUGAAAGAUAAGUCUAAACUAUGCACAUGAUAAAUACAAAACAAAGAAGAACCAAAUCUAGUUAACUAAAUAUUAAUAUAUAGUUGGAGGGGAUAAGGAUAAUGCUUUCUAAUAUUCAUCAAUAUCUUCAUCAAUGGAUUCUCUGCCAAUGGCCCCCUUCAAAGGCAGUGUAGUUGAAUGAGGAAAAACGCACAACUUUGAUCAAACCAAGAAAAAUUGAAGUUUUGCAACCCCUUUUGUAAAAAUAUCUGCAAGUUGAAGUGAAGAGGGUACAAAACUCAGGUGGAGAACCCCACGUGCCACAAGUUCCCUAAUGAAGUGAUAAUCAAUGGCAAUAUGCUUGGAGCGGGACUUGGUGGCCGGGUUGGAAGCAAUAAACAUUGCCCUCUUAUUAUCACAUAACAUAGUUGGAGGUGAGGAUAGCUUGAUAUGUAGCUCACGAAAAAGCUGAAGUGUCCAUGAAAGAUCAACAGCUAGAAUAGCAAGUGCUUGAUAUUCGACCUCAGUAUUGGAACGAGAAACAGAGGUCUGUUUCUUGGAACACCAAAAGAUGAGAUUCAAGCCAUAAUAGACCGCGAAGCCUGUAGUAGAACAUCUAGUGUCUGGACAUCCUGCCCAAUCUACAUCAGAAUAACCAAGUAACAUAGAGGAGGAGUUUCUUGACAACUGAAGGCCAAAGUCAUAGGUGCCUUUAACAUAUCUGAGAAUAGUUUUCAAGGCACAAAUGGAGUCAAUGCUGUAAGAUAAAUCUGGGCUGGUAAGUGUCAAAUAUUGCAAAGCUCCAGCAAGAAAUCGAAACUGUGAAGAAUCAGCAUGAGGCUCACCAGAUUUAGUGAGAUGAGAACCAACCAAAAAAGGGGUGGAAAUAGGCUUGCAAUCUCUCAUAGCAGCACAAUCCAGAAGGUCCAAGGCAUACUUAGAUUGGCUAAGAAAAUACCUUUGUCAUUUCAAAUUACCUCAAUGCCUAGAAAAUAAUGGAGCUCACCUAAAUCCUUGAUAGAAAAUUCUGUGGCAAGUGCAUUACUACCAGUAAUCACCAUAUCGUCGACAUAUAACAGCAAAUAGAUAACACCAUCAGAGCCAUGAUAAACAAACAGAGAUGAGUCGGCCUGACUAGCAACAAAGCCAAGGUGAAAAAAAAAAAGACCUGAACCAUUGGAACCAUGCCCUUGGAGCCUAUUUAAGACCAUAGAGAGGUCGUUGCAAACGACAUACACGAGUAGGAAAUUGAGAAUUAACAUAACCUGGAUGUUGUUCCAUAUAAACUUCUUCUGAAAGAUGGCCAUGCAAGAAAUCAUUUUUAACGUCAAGCUGAUGAAGAGGCCAAUUAUGCAUGGCAGCAAGAGAAAGGAUUAUUCGAACCAUGGCAGGGCGAAUGACCGGACUGAAAGUCUCUUCAAAGUCGAUGACAUGUUUCUGAGAAAAUCCCUGUGCUACAAGACGAGCUUUAUGGCGCUUUAUAGUACCAUCUGCACGAAGUUUAGUUUUAAAAAUCCAACAACAACCCACAACAUUAUGAUUAGAAGGUCGAGGUACCAAUCACCAAGUGUUAUUUUGCUUGAGAGCUGUUAUUUCAUCAUCCCUUGCAGUAAGCCAUUCUUGAUAUUUUAAGGCUGACUUAAAACCCCGUGGCUCUUCAACAACAAGAUGUACCUGAAACCAUGGAGGAGCUGACAAAGCAAUUAACGAAUGAAUAGUACGAGGCUUAACAAUACCAUUCCUUAAACGAGUAAUCAUAGGAUGUGGAGUUGGUGGCGGUCGUGACAAGGAAGAAAUGGGUGGAUUGACACCUUUGCUGAAGGAGGCAAGACUCAAGAAGAGGAUGAGAAGUACAAUUAUGGUUAGCACAUGGGAGACACGGAGAAGAUGCCUUGUGAUGAUUCAAAGUCAUAUUUGUAGGAUCAAUUUGUUCACAAGAUAAAAAAAGAUCAAUAGGAUCCAAAAAGGUGACAAAAUCAGUGGAGUCCUGGGAAGUAAGAGUGGAGUUUUUGUAAGGAAAAUGAUCCUCAAAAUACUGCACAUGACGAGAGACAUACACACGGUUAGAUUUUGUAUCUAAACAACAAAAAACUUUAUGAAGUGAACUAUAGCCUAAAAAUAAACAAGGGAGAGAUUGUGGAGAGAAUUUGUGAGGCAUAUAGUCAUGAAGAAAAGGAAACCAUAAACAUCCAAAGGUUCGGAGAGAAGAAUAAGAAGGAACUUUACCGUACAAUACUUCAUGAGGUGUCAUGCUACCAAGAACCGGUGAUGGAAGCCGAUUGAUGAGAUAACAAGCUGUAGAGAAAGACUCAACCCACAAUUGUAAAGGAACGUUAGAAUGAAAGAGCAAGGUUAGUCCGGUUUCGGUGAUAUGCCUAUGUUUACGCUCGGCAAUGCCAUUUUGGUUUGGAGUGUAAGGACAAGAUAUUCUUUGAAUUAUACCACACUCAUGAAGAUAAGAAGUGAAUUUGUUAUUAGUGAACUCAGUUCCACUGUCACAUUGGAAUGAUUUUACGUUCCUAUCAAAUUGAUUUUUGGCAUAAAUGACAAAACGGACAAAAAUAUCAAAAAAAUCUAAUUUGAGCUUGAGAGGAAAAAUCCAACUAAAACGAGAGAAAUUAUCAAUCAAGACACAAUAAUAUUUAUAUCCCGACAGAAAGGUAAUUGGAGACGGUCCCCACAAGUCACAGUGAAUUCAUUCAAAUAAAAAGAGCAAUGUUAAACAAAAUUAGAGAAAGGUAAGCGAUGAUUCUUUCCCAAUUGACAACCAAAACAAUGAUCAUUAUUAAAAUUGUUCUUAUUAGAAAAUAAAAUAGCACCGUGCUUAUUUAAAAAAGACAAAAUCCUAAUAGAAGGAUGACCUAAACGUGCAUGCCAAACGGUGGAGGUAGCAUGAUUAUUACAAAGAGCAACAGAAGACAAAAAAUUUGCAUGGACACGAUCAAGUACAUAAAGGACUUUCUCACAUCAGCUGACUCCCAUCACCGCUCUUGUUGCCAGAUCUUGUAUGACAACGGAAGAAGGAAAAAGUUAUUGAACAAUUGUUCUCGAGUAAGCUUACUGAUGGAAAUAAGGUUUUUGGUAAUACUAGGAACAAGAAGAACAUUAGACAUAGGUAAUGAAUGGGAAGCAACAAUAGACGAAAUAGAACCAACAUGAGAUAUAGGUAAAGAAUGACCAUCACCAACAAACACCCUUUCAUUACUAUUGUAAGGAAUGGAGGAGUCAAGAGUCAAUGCAUCACUAGUCAUAUGUGAUGUCGCCCCUGUAUUCGUGUACCACUCGGUGUCGUGAGAGUCUACAAGAGAGGUUGCUAAAAAAGCUUCAAUGAGACCACCAUCUUUAGCCUUUUUCAGCAACUUACCAAGUUUAUAACACUUUUGGCUAUGUGAUUAUCUUUGCCACACCACUGGCAAGUAACAGCAGUAGAUUUGGAAGAGUUGCGGCUAUCCAUUUUAGAAAAGGAGUGAUGUUUGUUUCGGCCAGCAGAUAUAAUGGAGGAGCCGUGGCUGGCAAUGAAAGCAGAUUGCUGUUGCACUUCACCAUGGAUGGAUCGAGAGAAGAGCUCAUGGCUAAGAGCUUGCGGGACCAUGGUGGCAAAGGAAGGCAGCGGACAUUAUGAUAGCAUAGUGGUGGAAAAAAUUUUAUAAUCAGGGGCCAAGACCACGAAGAAACAAAUGCACCUUGUCUGUAUCGUCAACUGACUUUCGAAUGGCAGAGAUUUUGUCACAGAGAGAGCGAAAAGAGCGAACAUAGUCAACCACGCUACGAGAGCCACGCUGGAGCAAUUGAAGUUCGUCUCAGUUGAAUUUCACGUAUCUUGGAGCUAUGAGAAAAUGAUGUUUCGAUCAACCAAGCAUCAUGGGCAGUAUGUCACGACUCGCUCGAUCUUGGCACAAGAAGAUCGAGAAAUUUAAAAUGUUGACGAGUUGGGGCUAACCGGAAUAUUCUAGACUCCCACAAGUGCAUGAAG